rnacentral:tRNA from 3 species
GGACAGAUGGCCGAGUGGUUUAAGGCAGCGGUCUUGAAAACCGCCGUGGGGGAAACCUCACCGUGGGUUCGAAUCCCACUCUGUCCGCCA